CCAACCACUCUUUCUCCAUUCAUUUCCUUCCCCUUAUUUUUCUCCAUUCUCUUAAUCUAAACAAAAAACCUAAAUCUCGGCCAUGAAUCUCGCAUAGCUGCCAAAAUCUAAGGUGCUUUUCUAUUCCGGUGUGUUUCGUCUUCGAUUUGGUAGAUCCACAAGUGUUUUCAUCGGGAGUUCUGUUUAAUUUUUUGAUUUUGAAGCGCGAGUUCCAUGAUUUCAUCGGCAGAUCCAACAGUGGUGUGAUUCAAAUAUGGAACGUGAAGGAGAAGUGGUCUUAUAGCUUGUUGGUUUGAGCAACUCUCUUUGGAUGUUAUGCACAAUAAAGUCGACUGAGGAGAAGUCAUCUAAGCUUGAGACAUUGAGAGGGUUUUGGCAAGGGCUAAAGAGUUGCGUGCUGAAGGGGAAGAUCCAGAUUACGAUGCAAUCUUUCUCGAGCUUUUUGGGAGGGUUAAGAAAAGGAAACAGGUUCCUGGAGUUGGGCAAGCGACAAGCUUGUAUUUUCCAUUUGCUACCAGCUCAGCUGAGGGCUCUGCAUCUUCCGGCUCGUCAUGCCUCAGCACUGAUCAGGUUGAUGAGUUUUUCGAGCGACGAGUACAGCCUUUGCAUCAAGAGAUCGAAGAAUUGCGGGAGCUAGUAAAAGUCCUCAGUCAGCAAGUUCAAGCAAGUUCAAGCAAGUUCAAGCAAGUCUAGAAGUGGCUAGUAGUAUUUGAACUAAAUUGUGGAAACUAGUAGUAUUAGAACUUAAUUUAUGAUUUGAUUUAAUUGAAGUGUGAAACAAUAUUUUGUAUCUAUGUAAAAUUUGAAUUUUCGUCAUUCAAUUGAAUUAUUUCAUACUA